rnacentral:rRNA from 1 species
CUACGGGUGGCUCCAGUGAGGAAUUUUGCGCAAUGGGGGGAACCCUGACGCAGCAACGCCGCGUGAGUGAUGAAGGCUUUCGGGUCGUAAAGCUCUGUCAAGUGGGAAGAACCUAUGCAGUGUUAAUAUCACUGUAUACUGACGGUACCACUGAAGGAAGCACCGGCUAACUCCGUGCCAGCAGCCGCGGUAAUACGGGGGGUGCAAGCGUUAUUCGGAAUCAUUGGGCGUAAAGGGCACGUAGCGGCUUGGUAAGUCAGAUGUGAAAGCCCGGGGCUUAACCCCGGAAGUGCAUUUGAUACUGUCAGGCUUGAGUAUGGGAGAGGGAAGUGGAAUUCCUGGUGUAGAGGUGAAAUUCGUAGAUAUCAGGAGGAACACCGGUGGCGAAGGCGACUUCCUGGACCAAUACUGACGCUGAGGUGCGAAGGCGUGGGUAGCAAACAGGAUUAGAUACCCCCGUAGUC